rnacentral:lncRNA from 1 species
CCAGAGCAUGACAAAUACAGAGGCAGACUCUUGCAGCCUCUGAGAAUGGGGUCCCCAUAGGAGGAAUUAGAGAAAGGAUUUGAAGGAGCUGAAGGGGUUUGCAACCCCAUAAGAAUAACAACAAUACCAACCAACCAGAGCCCCCAGGGACUAAACUACUAUCCAAAUAGUACACAUGGACAGAGCCAUGGCUCCAGCUGCAUAUGUAGCAGAGGAUGGCCUUGUUGGGCAUCAAUGGGAGGAGAAGUCCUUGGUCCUGCCAAGGUUCAAUGCCCCAGUGUUGGAGAAUGUCAGGGCAGGGAGGCAGGAAGGGGUGGGUGGAUGGGAGGGGGGCACCCUCAUAGAAGAAGGGGGAGGGAGGAUCGGAUAGGGGAUUUAUGGGUGGAAAACCAGGAAAGGGGAUAACAUUUGAAAUGUAAAAUAAAAAAAACCCAAUAAAAAAAAGCAAAAAGAAAUAAAAA